CUGUUGUAGUCAUCAAUGAAUUCAUAAGGAUCUGCUUAAAAGUAAAGUUGUGCUUAAACAUCAUAUAAAGGUAGUGUAUAGGCAUGUACAGGUAUGGUUCCAGAACCGUCGAGCCAAGUGGCGCAAACAGGAGAAGCUGGCAGCAAAACAUCAACAGAUGGCACACAGCAAUGUCCAAUUAGUUCAAGGGCUUGUUUCAAUACCAGGUAAGUCUGUAAUAGAAAAUAACUGCUGAAAAGUAAAUUAAAUGUCAGAGAGGUUUAGUUAUGGGAUCCAGAUUCUAAUUACAUAUGAGUUUAUAUUGCUGAUGCUGUGGAAUACUAGAGUGUAACAAUGACAGUGAAGUUCAAAGGUUCAUGAUUGAAAGGCCAUAGGAAAGGAAAAUGCUAAAUCCUAGAAAUUUCACAGGAGAAGGGCUUUGGUAUUGUAAUUUAGAAAUGAAAGCGAUUUGUUAUACAUUCUGAGAUGUAACACAGAAAGUUGCAUGACAAAUAUGAUUUUGUGUAGCUUAUGAAAAUAACUUUGAGCAUACAUAUAUGUGUGCAUAAAUGUUUUAAGGCACAUUAGCAUCACUGGCAAUUUGCACCUAGAUGAAAUUAAAGUUGAAAUGUUAAUUACCUUCUGAGGGCAAAAAUUAAAUAAAAUUCUAAUAUUUCUCAGAUUUAAAAUUGGAUUGACAAAACAGAUUGACAGAAAAAAUUAAAUAAAAUAGAACAAUAUGCUAAAAUAAGACAGCAGACUGCAAGCUGUAUAUUGGCUUGUAUUUGAGGCCUUAAAUAACAACAAAAAAUGAGACAGUCACAAGUAUAUCUAUAAAUACUAGAAAUUCUGUCAUUAAAUAGGUUUGACAACCUCCAUAACAUUGAGGAAUGUAAGUAAAUUAGACACAGUAUACUGAUUGUCUCCAAGGAUGUCAUGCAGUUUACCUUGAAGAUUAACUGAAAGACAUUCACCAUAGCAUAAGCAUUCCAUUAAAAUGCAUUGAAUGGUAAAUGUUCAUAUGUUAGGUGAGCGUCACCAAUCUGAAGACAUCUGAAUAUGACUCCCCCCGCUGAUAAAAAUUAAGAGGACUACUAUACCUGAAUAUAUUGUUUCACCACUUGCAAUUUGUCCUCCUCUUCAGCCCUAGUAUAGACAUUUUUAACAUUAUCAAGUUCUCCUGCAUGGUGUGGGUGUGAAAAUGUCUCAGAGCUUCUUUCCAGUCACAAAUGGCACCAUGAUUUUCAUCUUUCCACCAAAGGACACGUAUUUGAUGUGUAUAUUAGGCAACUGGGAAAUGUUACAGGAGGUGGCUCAGAGCAUAUCCUUCAUGGAAUAAAUGUGUAGCAACUCCUGGUCCUUGAAAUUAUCUGACUGAAAGCCUCCUAUAACACAUAUAAAGAUCCUUUUCAGAUGUCAGAAUUCAGUUGCAGAAGUUUUAUACAUAUGAAUAUUUACAAGAUAGUUGUCACUACCAUGAAAAUCAAAAAGAUAAGCUGCUGGGACUGAGCUGCAUUAAAGCUACACUGUCAUUGAAGAUGUAUGCACAAGAGGGAUUAGUGUGUUA